CCAGCAUUUUCUGCGUAUCCAAGCAUUGGGGGGACAAAGUAAUACUUGGCAUUAAUGGAGCUCACCCAUAAGGAAUGCCUAUUCCAAACUUCUUCGCUUAUGAAAAGGAGGAUCCGGGGGGGGGGGGCAUAUCAUUCCCAACAUGCACUGCUUAUCUGAAAAGGCAAGGAACUGAGGAGCAGGAAGGCCAAGGAAACUGCGCAGGGUCACAGAGCUAGGAAACAGCAGAGCUGAGACUGGAGCCUCUGGCAGUGUGAGUGCACUGGGUGGCUCUCAACCCCGACACCACGGUUGCCUACCACGCGCACUGCUAUUAACAGGCACAGCCAGAACCUGAAUUUAGAACUUCAACUCCAAGGCCAAAGCUCUUUUCACUAUCCCAUGGAGCAAGUUGGAUUUUACAAGAUAUUUUCAAAUUCCCUUUCAACGACCAGUACUGCCUUACAAGCAAAGUGCUACAUAAUCUUAACUGAGAGAGAAUAUAUUUGAAAACAUUCUCCAAAGAAAGAGAGAAAACAACUUUUAAAUGAUCAAAACUCAGUUGUGGGCUGAGAGAACUUUGCAAAAAGAAAUUGUCACUCAAGGAAAAAAAAAAAAAAUCAUGCCUACCCUGGCCAAGUCAGCCAGAAAGAAUUUGAGAUUAAAACCGUUUCAAAAGACAAAAGUCUUACGAGUUCUGAGAGUUUAUGUCACAAGAAAACCACAAAUGCAAUUUUUGAUUAAGGAACAAGAGAUCUGAGAAUAUGACCUACUCAUAUCUGAGAUUCUGGUGUGUUGCAACAAAUGUUUAAGUGUUAAAUGCUUAUUAUUUGCCUAACGAAGGAGAAAAGGUGUAUCUGCAGCAUACAUUGUGAAAGGCAAAGACAGCUCAUCAAAUGGGAAUCCUGUCUCAGUUGCAGCAGAGUUUUGGGGGUGUGGGCAGGUCAUUCAACACACGAACCUCCAACUGUUGCACUCCAACACCCACUGAUCGGUGAUAAAUGCCUCUGAAAACCUAAAACCUUCCACUUGUACAGAGCAUCACUGACAGAGACAUCAUUCUAUGUGACUCUAAAUCUCACUGGAACACAAAAACUGGAAAUACAACUCCGUGAAUGCCGCUGAUGGUGUUAUUUGUCCUGUGCUGUCAUUAUCAAUGUUGUGAAAGAUGGAUCCCAACUAGCACAUUAUGGGAGUAAUCACCAGCCAGCACGGAAGAGCCACAUUAUUCCUUGACAACUUCUAUGCUGAAAACGCUCAGAUCUACAUCUCAGAUGUGCCUUUCCUACCCUUCUCUGGACCUGUGUCUCCAACAGGGUAUGUCACUGUCUCCCCCAUUAACCUGUUCCAAACCACUUUUCUCCUCUCCCAAAUCAUCUCUCCUUCCCAAACCUUUCGAUCAGAUAUCCCAGUUUCUUGUAGUUAUAUUGGAUCCUUUCCAAACAGCCAUGGAAAUAUGUUCUGUUUCUCACCCAAAUAUCUCCAUGUGACCCCUCCUGCCCUUUUAUACUCCUUCCUCCUAAAUCUUUGCUUUCCUCAUCCAUCCCUACACUGCCACUUUCUGGUAGGCCUUUCUCACUCCAGCUUCUCUGGAUUACUACACUUCCUGAUAAUUUAAACACUGUCUUUCCCUUGUCACUCACACACACACACACACACACACACACACACACACACACACACGCAUCCAUGACUCCUUUAAGUUAUUUAAGAAGCUUGAACUCCUUUCAGUCUACCUACAGAGAUAGACUUCUUUUCUAGUACUUAUCACCAGUAUGUGUAAAGUGUAUUCCAAUCACAUAAAAUCCCUCAUUUCCUUCAGGUUCACUGCGUCUAUUCCCAUUAACAAUGUUGUACCCUUGUUCCUUUUUAUCUGUGUCAAUCCCAAUCUUUGCCAUCCUUUGAGACCUGUUUUGAGUUUCCCUUCUUCCAGGAAGCGAUUCAAACUAUGCUAGUCUUCUUCACUCAUUCAUCCUACCAAUAAAUAUUCACUGAGGGCCCACUCCAGCCCAGGUACUAUGUGAGGCUCCGUGGAUUCAGAAGCAACUUCAAUGGGCAUAGUUCUGCCCUGGUGGACAUGACAGGCUCUCCCUUCUGAACUUGAGCAGACUCUACCAUUUUCAAGUAUAUUGACCAUCUCUCUAUAAUUAGAUGGAGCACUUUAAGGGUAGAGGCUACAGAUCUAUUUCUUCUGAAUGCCUAGCACUGUGGCAGGAGCAUGAUGGUUUCAUAAGGUAGUCUUAUUGACAGAACAAAGGACUUCAGUAGGUUUGUAGGGAACAUGAAGGAGCUUAACGGAGACAAAUCUAUCUUGGUCAAGUAGACAGGGACAACAGAGGGAAGACCAGGAGGCAGGAAGUCUCACAAGAUAGCAACUGAGAACUGAGAAGAGCAGUGACCCUGAAGUAGUGUGGGAGACAUUGAGGGCUCAGAGCAGGAAGUCCUCAGCAUGGAGGGAGUUCCAGCAGGACUAAAUCUACGAGUCAAGGCUAUUUCCCCAAAACCCUCUCUGCUCUAGAGGAAGGGGAGGGUAACUGUGAUGUAGUCAUACUUGAACAUGCACUAGAUGUCAUGCACUAUGGAAAGCAAUAGUGUUUUUUAAUCAAAAGACACUCCUCUCUGUUCACCUGGUGAAGACACCAGAGCUUGGUAUCAGGUCACACUCCAAAUGGAUGGUAUUAUGGCAUAAUGAUGCAUCUGCAGGCAAAUGGCUAAGAUGCACAAAAUAAAUAUAAGUACAGAGCACACAGAAGAGGCUGAAAGUGCAGAAGGGAUCAUAUAUAUUCAAGAGGGCCACAAGUGAGAAGAGGAAGUACCUCUUUUGCACCAAAUGGCUGCUUCUGUUUUCCAUUAUCCAAGGCAUAGAGAAGAUCAAAGGAGUCCUACCUGGGUUAGACCAGAGAUAGGCACAGGGAGUUGGCUAUUUGCAUAUGUGUAUGCAUAUGCAUAUGUGCCUUGUUUGUAUGGGAAGAAAAAAAAAAUAUGUAUAUAUUCCAUUGCUUCAUUCUUUAUCCCGCCAUUAUACCAAUGUAUGCCUUAUGGCCUUCUUCACACCAGUUCCUUAAGUAUCCUAACCAAAAUAAUAGUAAAUUAAACCUAAUUUAUAGUAAGAACCAAACUUGAGGCUAUCAGUAUAUUCAAAGGGUAAUGCAGUAUUUGUCAAAGAUGGCCUUUAAAAUGGAAGAAAACAAUUUUUUUUAAAUGUUUAUUUAGUUUUGAGAGAGAGAGAGUGCAAGCAGGGGAGGGACAGAAAGAGAGAGAGAGACACAGAAUCUGAAGAAGGCUCCAGGCUCUGAGCUGGCAGCACAGAGCCUGAUGCGGGGCUCAAACCCACGAACUGUGAGGUCAUGACCUGAGCUGAAGUCAGACGCUUAACUGAGUCACCCUGACGCCCCAAAAACAAUUUGUGAUGCGGAUAAGUUUGGAUGGCUUAUCAGACAAAUUAAAGAUUGUUAACGCACA